UCGCUAAACCAUUUUAUUAAAACUUUGUGGUCUCUAGAACCGAUAUUGAACGACGUGGCGCACCGGCGCUAAGUGCUCGAGAUCAGGCGAAAAAAUUGGUUCCGGAUAAAAAGAUACCAUCGUUAUCAUUCUUAUCCUUUAUCGAUAAAAUCGGAUGGGAAAGGUGUGUCUAAUUAUGCAUCUAUUUCAAUCAAAAUUCAGGUGGCAUUAGUGGCUGGUUGUGUGCUAAUUAAUAAGAGAGUUCACAAAGUGGUCCAGGAGAUCCUUUCUUUUCAAAGAUGGGCCGGAUAUGUAUUCAAUCAUCAAAAAGUAACAACAGAACAACCUGACAAAGCCAUAUAACAAUGAUAAUAAUGUAAAUGUUCCAGAACAUGAUUUUUAAAAAUAAAUUCAAAUACAAACGAAA